AUUGAACGCUGGCGGCAUGCCUUACACAUGCAAGUCGAACGGUAACGGGCCUUCGGGUGCUGACGAGUGGCGAACGGGUGAGUAAUACAUCGGAACGUGCCCGAUCGUGGGGGAUAACGAGGCGAAAGCUUUGCUAAUACCGCAUACGAUCUACGGAUGAAAGCAGGGGACCGCAAGGCCUUGCGCGGACGGAGCGGCCGAUGGCAGAUUAGGUAGUUGGUGGGAUAAAAGCUUACCAAGCCGACGAUCUGUAGCUGGUCUGAGAGGAUGAUCAGCCACACUGGGACUGAGACACGGCCCAGACUCCUACGGGAGGCAGCAGUGGGGAAUUUUGGACAAUGGGCGCAAGCCUGAUCCAGCCAUGCCGCGUGCAGGAUGAAGGCCUUCGGGUUGUAAACUGCUUUUGUACGGAACGAAAAGCCUUCUUUUAAUACAGCAGGGUCAUGACGGUACCGUAAGAAUAAGCACCGGCUAACUACGUG
rnacentral:rRNA from 1 species